rnacentral:rRNA from 1 species
GACGUAGGGCGCGAGCGUUGUCCGGAUUUAUUGGGCGUAAAGAGCUCGUAGGCGGCUUGUCGCGUCGGCUGUGAAAACCCGCGGCUCAACUGUGGGCGGGCAGCUGAUACGGGCAGGCUGGAGUUCGGUAGGGGAGACUGGAAUUCCUGGUGUAGCGGUGAAAUGCGCAGAUAUCAGGAGGAACACCGGUGGCGAAGGCGGCGACCUGGGUAGAUACUGACGCUGAGGUGCGAAAGCGUGGGGAGCAAACAGG